GUCCAGCUAGUUCAACAAUGGCUAUCUCCUGACAGAAAGACCAAGAAUCCAAUAGUUGUUAGUCCAUGAGACUGUGUAUCUUCAGGUGGCCUUCAGUCCCAAGGAAGUAGGGAUUCCAACAUAAAACCUUUUGUUUUGUGGAUGAAAAAAUACAAACCAGGGGAUGUUAACAGGAAUACCAUCUAUAGUUCCUAAUGAAUUCCUUUGUUCCAGUCAUAAUCACUAAUGGUUGAUAAUAUUAUGAAAAGAAAGCCAAUCCACAAUUGGACUCUGUCACAAUGGGGCUGACAUCAACAUUCAACAUUUAUAACACAUCCCCAGGUAAUGAUCAAUGUACAACCAAGCCUGAAAAGCACAGGAGGUUAAGAGAUACUUUUUAGAACAAAACAUUUUCCAUUUAACUCUUAGUUACCUGGACCAGUGUUUCCUUGUACUAGUUAGUUAUAAUGAUGAACUUCUGGGAGUAAAAUUACUGAGUAUGACUUUAUAUAAUCAAAUUGCAUUUGGGGAAUUUUGAAAAUAUAUUUCCUUGUAUACUUUGCAUAGGCACUAAACAUAAUUAACCUAUUGAUACUAAACUUACCUUUGUUAGGAUUGAGGCUGCAUCAGAAUAAAAAAAAAAAAAGCACCAGAAAAAUCCAUGACGUUAUGGAACUUACAUUCUAAAGGGGUAAACAGAAUAAAUUGAUAUAAUUAUAUAGUAACUAGGGAAUUAUGAACAGUAGGGUGAAAAAUAAAGCAAGGAAUAGACAUGAAUCUGUAAGCAGACCAUCAGAGUGCUCAGGGAUUCUUCAGCUGUGGGAAAUGUUACGGCAAUGCUGAAGAGCAAGGCUCAGUUGAGAGGAGGGAGACCAGAUUGCUGCAGAUACAUCCUGGUCCUCAGGAUUAACUUUUCAUGAAGCCGAGAAGAAAGGAGGAUGGACACAGGUGUGGAGGAGAGGGGUCUGCAUCCACAAGUCGGCAUGUGCGUGGCGGGUGCUUGCUUGGCUUCCUGGUUGUACUGGGGAUGAUGGUGUGACAGAGACCACCACAUUGGACCAAAGUCGGUGCCUUUCUUCAUAGGCCAAUGAGACUGCCCAGAGGAUGUGUCCAGGUUGCUGUUGGGAAAAUGUAAGCCUGCCUGCCUCCCUACCAUGCCCUGGGAGUCAAGUCAAAGAAGAAAAUGGAGGAAGCCACAGUAAACAAAUUUCAAAUUUACUGUUGAUCCCUAAUCUCUAAUAUCGUCAUAGCACUUGUACUUCCUCAGGACCUCAAGUGCAAGUUCCUAAGGUGCCUGUGUUCCACCCUACUGAACUCUGCACUGUAGCAGAGGUGAUUCCCAAAACUGUAAGUAAGAUUCAGUCUUCCCGGAUGUCCUAAUUCAGAUGCUGCUCGUCUAAUUCAGUCUUACUGCUGCUGUCUUUUCUGUUCCAUAGCCUUGUCCUCCAUGUUCAUACAUUUAUUAUCCUCUUAUGUGAGUUCACGAGGAAGCAAUUGGAAAGUUUGCACCCAAGCAUUGUCUGACGGCAUUGCUUUCUUCCCGAGACAGAGAUUCAGACCCAGUCCUCCUGCUUCAGCCCCCUGUGUGCUGGAAUUACAGGCUUGCACCACCACACCAGCUCAGAAUCCAACAGCUAGAACUGGGCUUGCCCUGAUUGUAUUCUGGAUAAAAUACCCAUCAGGCCUCUCUUA